rnacentral:misc_RNA from 1 species
GAUGAAGAACGUAGCGAAAUGUGAUAAGUAAUGUGAAUUGCAGAAUUCAGUGAAUCAUCGAAUCUUUGAACGCACAUUGCGCCCGCCAGUAUUCUGGCGGGCAUGCCUGUUCGAGCGUCAUUUCAACCAUCAAGCCCCAGGCUUGUGUUGGAGCCCUGCGGCUGCCGCAGCCUCCCAAAACCAGUGGCGGGCUCGCUAUCACACCGAGUGCAGUAGUUUACUCUUCGCUCAGGGCGUGUGGCGGGUGCUAGCCGUAAAACCCCCAACUUCUCAAGGUUGACCUCGGAUCAGGCAGGAAUACCCGCUGAACUUAAGCAUAUCAAUAAGCGGAGGA